rnacentral:rRNA from 1 species
AACGAACGCUGGCGGCAUGCCUAACACAUGCAAGUCGAACGAGACCUUCGGGUCUAGUGGCGCAAGGGUGCGUAACGCGUGGGAACCUGCCCUUAGGUUCGGAAUAACUCCCCGAAAGGGGUGCUAAUACCGGAUAAUGUCUUCGGACCAAAGAUUUAUCGCCUUUGGAUGGGCCCGCGUUGGAUUAGCUAGUUGGUAGGGUAAAAGCCUACCAAGGCGACGAUCCAUAGCUGGUCUGAGAGGAUGAUCAGCCACACUGGGACUGAGACACGGCCCAGACUCCUACGGGAGGCAGCAGUGGGGAAUAUUGGACAAUGGGCGAAAGCCUGAUCCAGCAAUGCCGCGUGAGUGAAGAAGGCCUUAGGGUUGUAAAGCUCUUUUACCCGGGAUGAUAAUGACAGUACCGGGAGAAUAAGCUCCGGCUAACUCCGUG